GACGAACGCUGGCGGCGUGCUUAACACAUGCAAGUCGAACGGAAAGGCCCUGCUUUUGUGGGGUGCUCGAGUGGCGAACGGGUGAGUAACACGUGAGUAACCUGCCCUUGACUUUGGGAUAACUUCAGGAAACUGGGGCUAAUACCGGAUAGGAGCUCCUGCUGCAUGGUGGGGGUUGGAAAGUUUCGGCGGUUGGGGAUGGACUCGCGGCUUAUCAGAUUGUUGGUGGGGUAGUGGCUUACCAAGGCUUUGACGGGUAGCCGGCCUGAGAGGGUGACCGGCCACAUUGGGACUGAGAUACGGCCCAGACUCCUACGGGAGGCAGCAGUGGGGAAUAUUGCACAAUGGGCGGAAGCCUGAUGCAGCAACGCCGCGUGCGGGAUGACGGCCUUCGGGUUGUAAACCGCUUUCGCCUGGGACGAAGCGUGAGUGACGGUAAUGGGUAAAGAAGCACCGGCUAACUACG
rnacentral:rRNA from 1 species